rnacentral:rRNA from 1 species
CCUACGGGAGGCAGCAGUGAGGAAUAUUGGUCAAUGGGCGCGAGCCUGAACCAGCCAAGUAGCGUGAAGGAUGACUGCCCUACGGGUUGUAAACUUCUUUUAUAAAGGAAUAAAGUGAGGCACGUGUGCCUUUUUGUAUGUACUUUAUGAAUAAGGAUCGGCUAACUCCGUGCCAGCAGCCGCGGUAAUACGGAGGAUCCGAGCGUUAUCCGGAUUUAUUGGGUUUAAAGGGAGCGUAGAUGGGUUGUUAAGUCAGUUGUGAAAGUUUGCGGGUCAACCGUAAAAUUGCAAUGGAUACUGGCAGUUGUGAGUACAGUUGAGGUAGGCGGAAUUCGGGGUGUAGCGGGGAAAGUCUAAGAUAUCACGAAGAACUCCGAUUGCGAAGGCAGCU